CAAUAGCGUAUAUUAAAGUUGUUGCAGUUAAAAAGCUCGUAGUUGGAUUUCUGUGAGAGUGCCGGUGUCGGCUGAUGCUUGUACGCAGGCGCUCUUACAUCCUUCUGUUAACUGUUCUUGGCAUUUUAUUGCUGGUUCAGGGCUCAGAUAUUUUACCUUGAGAGAAUUAGAGUGUUUCAGGCAGGCUUAUGCCGGAAUACAUUAGCAUGGAAUAAUGGAACAGGACCUGUGCGUCUCUCGGGGCGCCGGUCUCCGUUGUUGGUUUCGGGGACUAAUGUAAUGAUUAAUAGGGAUAGUUGGGGGCAUUAGUAUUUAAUAGUCAGAGGUGAAAUUCUCGGAUUUGUUAAAGACUAACUUAUGCGAAAGCAUUUGCCAAGGAUGUUUUCAUUAA
rnacentral:rRNA from 1 species